ensembl:snoRNA SNORD68 small nucleolar RNA, C/D box 68
UGAUGACACUGUCUCCAGAAUCUCUGCCAUCUGUGAUGACCACGUUUGAACCCUUUUCCAGCUGAUGACUGUAAUGGCUUCCUC